rnacentral:tRNA from 1 species
GCGGAAGUAGCUCCGUUGGUAGAGCAUUAGCCUUCCAAGCUAAGGGUCGCGAGUUCGAACCUCGUCUUCCGCUCCA